AUUGAACGCUGGCGGCAGGCCUAACACAUGCAAGUCGAGCGAGCGGCGGCCGGGUGAGUAAUGUCUGGGAAACUGCCUGAUGGAGGGGGAUAACUACUGGAAACGGUAGCUAAUACCGCAUACCAUCAGAUGUGCCCACAUGGGAUUAGCUCGUAGGGGGGGUAACGGCGCACCUAGGCGACGAUCCCUAGCUGGUCUGAGAGGAUGACCAGCCACACUGGAACUGAGACACGGUCCAGACUCCUACGGGAGGCAGCAGUGGGGAAGAUUGGACAAUGGGCGAAAGCCUGAUGCAGCCAUGCCGCGUGUGUGAAGAAGGUCUUCGGAUUGUAAAGCACUUGCAGCUGGGAGGCGUUACCCGCAGAAGAAGCACCGGCUAACUCCGUGCCAGCAGCCGCGGUAAUAC
rnacentral:rRNA from 1 species